rnacentral:rRNA from 1 species
UACGAAGGGGGCUAGCGUUGCUCGGAAUUACUGGGCGUAAAGCGCACGUAGGCGGAUCUUUAAGUCAGGGGUGAAAUCCUGGAGCUCAACUCCAGAACUGCCUUUGAUACUGAGGGUCUUGAGUUCGGGAGAGGUGAGUGGAACUGCGAGUGUAGAGGUGAAAUUCGUAGAUAUUCGCAAGAACACCAGUGGCGAAGGCGGCUCACUGGCCCGAUACUGACGCUGAGG